GGGCACCACACCGAGUGAAAAUAAGAAAAUAGAGGCAUCCCUUCUGACUUACCCCUGGGGGUAGGACAAGGAACAAGUGUGACUCUGCCAUCAAUAAGUGCUACCAUUAAUCAUAAUACCAAGGAAUGACACAUGGUGGAGAAGCUGAGAUGGAAAUGGAAGAGUACAGCCAGAAGCAGAGAACUAGGAGAAAAGGACGCUGGUGAAGGUUGUGCCUGGGGCAUACAUGGACCUGAGAAAGUCCUAAUUGCUGAGGACAGGCAGGUGGACUGCAGGUGCACAGUGGGGGCAAGUAAUUCUUCAAGGCAGGGGAUCCACAGGGUUGAACAGCUUCGCACCAGCAAUUAUGACAGAAAUAACCCCAAGGCAGGACCACAGCUGAUUCAUCGCUGACUGUAUCUGAUUGUUAUUGCUGACCCACUCUUAAGACAAAGUAAGUUUAUACGAGGCACACAGUGAAC